UACGAGGGGUGCAAGCGUUGCUCGGAAUUAUUGGGCGUAAAGGGUAGGUAGGUGGUCUCGUUUGUCUGGGGUGAAAGCCUUGAGCUUAACUCAAGAAGUGCCUUAGAAACGGCGAGACUGGAGUCUUGGAGAGGGUCGUGGAAUUCCCGGUGUAGCGGUGAAAUGCGUAGAGAUCGGGAGGAACACCAGCGGCGAAGGCGGCGACCUGGACAAGUACUGACACUCAACUACGAUAGCGUGGGUAGCAAACAGG
rnacentral:rRNA from 1 species